UCCGGUUGAUCCUGCCGGACCCCACUGCUAUCGGGGUGGGACUAAGACAUGAAAGAAGUGCGCCUCCAAGCCACGGUGGAGGCGCGGCGCACAGCUCAGUAACACGUGGCUAACCUACCCUUGGGACAGGGACAACCCCGGGAAACUGGGGCUAAUCCCCGAUAGGUGAGGACUCCUGGAAUGGGUCCUCGCUGAAAGGGCGUCUAGACCAUGCUUCCAGACGCUGCCCAAGGAUGGGGCCGCGGCCGAUCAGGUUGUUGGUGAGGUAACGGCUCACCAAGCCUAAGACCGGUACGGGCCGUGAGAGCGGGAGCCCGGAGAUGGACACUGAGACAAGGGUCCAGGCCCUACGGGGCGCAGCAGUCGCGAAACCUCCGCAAUACGCGAAAGCGUGACGGGGCCACCCCGAGUGCCGUCCGCUGAGGACGGCUUUUCCCCAGUGUAGACAGCUGGGGGAAUAAGGGGAGGGCAAGUCGGGUGUCAGCCGCCGCGGUAAUACCCGCUCCCCGAGUGGUGGGGACGCUUAUUGGGCCUAAAGCAUCCGUAGCCGGCUGGACAAGUCCCCUGUUAAAUCCAGCGAUUUAAUCGCUGGACUGCGGGGGAUACUGUCCAGCUAGGGGGCGGGAGAGGCCGGCGGUAUUCCCGGGGUAGGGGUGAAAUCUUAUAAUCCCGGGAGGACCACCAGUGGCGAAGGCUGCCGGCUGGAACGCGCCCGACGGUGAGGGAUGAAAGCUGGGGGAGCGAACCGGAUUAGAUACCCGGGUAGUCCCAGCUGUAAACGAUGCGGGCUAGGUGUUGGCACGGCUACAAGCCGUGCCAGUGCCGCAGGGAAGCCGUUAAGCCCGCCGCCUGGGGAGUACGGCCGCAAGGCUGAAACUUAAAGGAAUUGGCGGGGGAGCACCACAAGGGGUGUUCUUGCGGUUUAAUUGGAGUCAACGCCGGG
rnacentral:rRNA from 1 species